rnacentral:rRNA from 1 species
UACGUAGGGACCAGGCGUUGUUCGGAUUUACUGGGCGUAAAGGGCGCGUAGGCGGCGUGUUAAGUCAGCUGUGAAAUCUCCAAGCUUAACUUGGAACGGUCAGCUGAUACUGAUGUGCUAGAGUACAGAAGGGGCAAUCGGAAUUCUUGGUGUAGCGGUGAAAUGCGUAGAUAUCAAGAGGAACACCUGAGGUGAAGACGGGUUGCUGGGCUGAUACUGACGCUGAGGCGCGAAAGCUAGGGUAGCAAACGGG